CCUACGGGAGGCAGCAGUGGGGAAUAUUGCACAAUGGGGGAAACCCUGAUGCAGCGACGCCGCGUGAGUGAAGAAGUAAUUCGUUAUGUAACGCUCUAUCAGCAGGGACGAAAAUGACGGUACCUGAGUAAGAAGCCCCGGCUAACUACGUGCCAGCAGCCGCGGGCAUUCGUAGGGGGCAAGCGUUAUCCGGAUUUACUGGGUGGAAAGGGAACGUAGACGGCAGUGCAAGUCUGGAGUGAAAGGUGGGGGCUCAACCACCGGACUGCUCUGGAAACUGUACGGCUGGAGUGCAGGAGAGGUAAGUGGAAUUCCUAGUGUAGCGGUGAAAUGCGUAGAUAUUAGGAGGAACACCAGUGGCGAAGGCGGCUUACUGGACUGUAACUGACGUUGAGGCUCGAAAGCGUGGGGAGCAAACAGGAUUAGAUACCCGAGUAGUC
rnacentral:rRNA from 1 species